UGUAAAGUGGUUGUUCCACUGGAUAUCAUAAGGUGAAUGCACCAAUUUGUAAGUCGCUCUGGAUAAGAGCGUCUGCUAAAUGACGUAAAUGUAAUUAGGAAAUGUCUUAGUUCCUCACAUGGCAGAAGGUUCAUUGUAGAGACACACAGAUCACACACAUACACAUACAAGCACACACACACACACACACAGCGGAACAUACCUUCGUUGUGAUGUGGUCUUCAUAGCAACGGUCUGUUGUAUCCAGGCACGGUUUCCAUGGCACCACUGUUUUCCUGGUUAACCUUCCAGAUGGCCUAGGACUCUGAGGGAGCCAGCCUGAAGAUUCCCAAACACCGCUCUCAUCUAGUCUCACAGAGAAGAGAGAUCUCCACACCUCUGUGCACCUUGGAGCAGGAGACAUACACAAGUAACCUUUAACAAAACGUUUAGUGAUGCGUAUCAAAACAAAGUUACGUCAGAUAUCUCCUCAGCCUUUAAUAAGGACUGUGUUACCAACACACUGUUUGUUGUUACGUCAAUCAAUCAAAUGUUUUUAUGAAGCCCUUCUUACAUCAGCUGAUUUCACAAAGUGCUGUACAGAAACCCAGCCUAAAACCCCCAAACAGCAAGCAAUGCAGAUGUAGAAGCAGGGUGGCUAGGAAAAACUCCCUGGAAAGGAAGGAACCUAGGAAGAAAGCUUGAGAGGAACCAGGCUCUGAGGGGUGGCAAGUUCUCUUCUGGCUGUACUGGGUGGACAUGGCCAUUAAGGCCAGAUUGUUCUUCAAGAUGUUCAAACGUUCAUAGAUGACCAGCAGGGUCAGAUAAUCAUCAUAGUGGUUGUAGAGGGUGCAACAGUUCAGCACCUCAGGAAUAAAUGUCAGUUGGCUUUUCAUAGCUGAUCAUUCAGAGGUCGAGACAGCAGGUGCAGUAGAGAGGGAGAGGGAGAGAGGGAGAGAGAGAGAGAGUGUGAGAGAGAGAGAGAGAGAGAGAGAGAGAGAGAGAGAGAGUGAGAAAGAAAGAGAGGGAGAGAGAGAGAGAGAGAGAUGGUCGAAAACAGCAGGUCCGGGACAAGGUAGCAGGUCCAGUGAACAGGUCAGGGUUCCAUAGCCGCAGGCAGAACAGUUGAAACUGGAGCAGCAGCACGACCAGGUGGACUGGGGAUGGGAACAGCCAGGAGUCAUCAGGCCCGGUAGUCCUGAGGCAUGGUCAAAGGGGUGAGAGAGAGAAAGAGAGAGAGAGAAGAGAGAAUUAGAGUGAGCAUACUUAAGUUCACACAGGACACACAGGACACCACACAGGACACACAGGACACCAGAUAAGACAGAGAAUUACACCAGAUAACAGACUGACCCUAGUACCCCGGCACACAGACUACUGCAGCACAGAUACUGGAGACUGAGACAGGGGGAGGGGGUGUUCGACAAUACCCCCAGACAGGGUCAACCAGGCAGGAUAUAACCCCAAUCAGUUUGCCAAAGCAGAGCCAUCACACCACUAGAGGGAUCACGGAUGUGAUCCAAGCUGUAUCACAUCCGGAUGUGAUUGGGAGUCCCAUAGGGCGGCGCACAAUUGGCCCAGUGUCGUCUGGCUUUGGCCUGGGUAGGCCAUCAUUGUAAAUAAGAAUUUGUUCUUAACUGACUAAUCUAGAAGUGACAAAAGCGUGGAAUAGUUUUUCUACCUAAUUCUGGGGCAAAGAAAUUCAGAUUUUUUUCAAUGUUAUGAAAAUGGAAAAUAGCUUCCCUUGAAAUAUUGUAUUCUUGAUACGUAUGUUCGUCAAAAGAUAGAGCAGGGUCCAGAGUAAAGCCUAGGUCAGACAGCAGAUCUCUGUUUCUUGGGACCUAGAACUAGCAUCUCUGUUUUGUCCGAGUUUAAAGGUAAAACAUUUGCCGCUAUCCACUUCCUUAUGUUUGAAACGCAGGCUUCCAGGGAGGGAAAUUUUGGUGCUUCACCAUGUAAAUGUUCAGUUGUGAGUGGUCCGCAUAGCAGUGAAAACUGAUAUUGUGUUUUAUGAAUGACAUCACCAAGAGAAAAACAAGAGAGUGGUCGUAAAACAUUACCUUGAGGAACCAACUGUUCACAGAGACAAACUAAUAUAUUUCCAACAGAUAAGAUCAAAUCCAGGCAAAAUAAAACUUAUCCAUGUAGACCAAUCAGGGUUUCUAAUCUCUCCAACUACUUACACAUUCAUCUUCUGCACAUCUACCAUUCCAGUGUUUAAUUGGGUUUCUAAUCUCUCCAACUACUUGUCUCCAGUUCUCUGCUGCCAAUGACUGGAACGAACUGCAAAAAAUCACUGAAGCUGGAGACUCACAUCUCCUUCACUAGCUUUAAGCACCAGCUGUCAGAGCAGCUUACAGAUCACUGCACCUGUACAUAGCCCAUCUGUAAACAGCCCAUCCAACUACCUCAUCCCCAUACUGUAUUUAUUUAUUUUGCUCCUUUGCACCCCAAUAUUUCUACUUGCACAUUCAUCUUCUGCACAUCUACCAUUCCAGUGUUUAAUUGCUAUAUUGUAAUUACUUCGCCACCAUGGCCUAUUUAUUGCCUUAACUCCCUUAUCUUACCUAAUUUGCACUCACUGUAUAUAGACUUUUUGUUUUCUUUUGAUCUACUGUAUUAUUGACUGUAUGUUUUGUUUAUUCCAUGUGUAACUCUGUUGUUGUUGUAUGUGUCGAAUUACUAUGCUUUAUCUUGGCCAGGUCGCAGUUGCAAAUAAGAACUUGUUCUCAACUAGCCUAACUGGUUAAAUAAAGGUGAAAUAAAUAAAUAGAUACAAAUAAAAAAGAAUAUGGUGAUCGAUGGUGUCAAAAGCAGCACGAAGAUCUACUAGCACGAGGACAGAUGCAGAGCCUUGGUCUGACGCCAUUAAAAGAGGACCACCAGCGGAGGAACAAUGACAGGGACAUUGAGUUGGACAAGCACUACCAGAGUAUUACAUCAUGACAACAACCCAACCGCAGGACAUGAAGAGAUGUGAGAAGUCGUUCAGCUGCGUUGACAGGACAGUCACCACCAGGGGAAUUAUGAAAGAACAGGAUGGGACGAGAGAUGAUGGUUAGUGGUCCUGUCUGGCUCAGUGUCAGUGGUUAGUGGUCCUGUCUGGCUCAGUGUCAGUAAUUAGUGGUCCUGUCUGGCUCAGUGUCAGUGGUUAGUGGUCCUGUCUGGCUCAGUGUCAGUGGUCCUGUCUGGCUCAUUAUAAGUGGUUAGUGGUCCUGUCUGGCUCAGUAUAUGUGGUUAGUGGUCCUGUCUGGCUCAGUGUCAGUGGUCCUGUCUGGCUCAUUAUAAGUGGUUAGUGGUCCUGUCUGGCUCAGUGUCAGUGGUUAGUGGUCCUGUCUGGCUCAGUGUCAGUGGUUACUGGUCCUGUCUGGCUCAGUGUCAGUGGUUAGUGGUCCUGUCUGGCUCAGUGUCAGUAAUUAGUGGUCCUGUCUGGCUCAGUGUCAGUAAUUAGUGGUCCUGUCUGGCUCAGUGUAAGUGGUUAAUGGUCCUGUCUGGCUCAAUGUAAGUGGUUUGUGGUCCUGUCUUGCUCAAUGUCAGUGGUUAAUGGUCCUGUCUGGCUCAGGGUUAGUGGUUAAUGGUCCUGUCUGGCUCAGUGUAAGUGGUUAAUGGUCCUGUCUGGCCCAGUGUAAGUGGUUAGUGGUCCUGUCUUGCUCAAUAUCAGUAGUUAAUUGUCCUGUCUGGCUCAGUGUUUGUGGUAUUGGUCCCGUCUGGCUCAGUGUCAGUGGCCCUGUCUGGCUCAUUAUAAGUUGUUAGUGGUCCUGUCUUACUCAGUGUCAGUGGUUAGUGGUCCUGUCUGGCUCAGUGUCAGUGGCCCUGUCUGGCUCAUUAUAAGUUGUUAGUGGUCCUGUCUGGCUCAGUGUCAGUGGUUAGUGGUCCUGUCUGGCUCAUUAUAAGUUAGUGGUCCUGUCUUGCCCAGUGUCAGUGGUUAGUGGUCCUGUCUGGCUCAGUAUCAGUGGUCCUGUCUGGCUCAUUAUAAGUUAGUGGUCCUGUCUUGCCCAGUGUCAGUGGUUAGUGGUUCUGUCUGGCUCAUUAUAAGUGGUUAGUGGUCCUGUCUGGCUCAGUAUAUGUGGUUUCUGGUCCUGUCUGUCCCAGUGUCAAUGGUUACUGGUCCUGUCUGGCUCAGUGUAAGUGGUUAAUGGUCCUGUCUGGCUUAAUGUAAGUGGUUAGUGGUCCUGUGUUGCUCAAUGUCAGUGGUGAAUAGUCCUGUCUGGCUCAGGGUUAGUGGUUAAUGGUCCUGUCUGGCUCAGUGUAAGUGGUUAAUGGUCCUGUCUGGCCCAGUGUAAGUGGUUAGGGGUCCUGUCUUGCUCAAUAUCAGUAGUUAAUUGUCCUGUCUGGCUGUGUUUGUGGUAUUGGUCCUGUCUGGCUCAGUGUCAGUGGCCCUGUCUGGCUCAUUAUAAGUUGUUAGUGGUCCUGUCUUACUCAGUGUCAGUUGUUAGUGAUCCUGUCUUGCUCAGUGUCAGUGGUUAAUUAUCAUGUCUGACUAACUGUCAAUUGUUAGUGGUCCUGUCUUGCCCAGUGUCAGUGGUUAGUGGUCCUGUCUGGCUCAGUAUCAGUGGUCCUGUCUGGCUCAUUAUAAGUUAGUGGUCCUGUCUUGCCCAGUGUCAGUGGUUAGUGGUUCUGUCUGGCUCAUUAUAAGUGGUUAGUGGUCCUGUCUGGCUCAGUAUACGUGGUUACUGGUCCUGUCUGUCCCAGUGUCAAUUUUUAGUGGUCCUGUCUGGCUCAGUAUCAGUGGUCCUGUCUGGCUCAUUAUAAGUGGUUAGUGGUACUGUCUGGCUCAGUGCAGACUCAGUGCUGCCACUGUGUGGUUUGUGUGUGUUACUGCACCACCAGGUGUUCACCAGACGUAUAGUAACAUGAUGGAUGAGUACAGCUUUCUCCUGGUUAAACUUCCUGUCUUCCCAGUCCCUGAGUUUCAAAACCAGACUGGUGUGUGUGUGUGUGUGUUAAUCACACUUGUCUUUCAGGAAAUGUGCCUUUUGUUGUUGUUUUUAAUGAUGUUGUGAGUGAGGCCUGGAUUAAAUCUGAUCACAGGUGUGUAGACGUUGUGGCUUUUACAUUUAAUGUUCCCACGUUUGCAGAGAUCACAUUCAUGGUAAACGCUGCGUACUUCAUCUCAAAUCAGACAUUUCCUAUAAAAGCACUGCAGUAAAAAAAACAUUUUUUGAUUUUUUUCACUCUAUGAGGUUGGAAUAAUACUGUGAAAUUGUGAAAAAUUAUGAUAAUGCCCUUUUAGUGUAGGAGCUGUUGGAACCGUCAGCUGGUUUGGCUGGAAGGGUUUUUGGACAGUCUGUUAACAUCACCAAGUGGUUUACGUUGUCUUUCACAACAUUUUCAUUUUUAUUGUGUUCCUAAAUUUAACCUGUAUUAAAUUGCAUUUUCUUGUCACUGGCCUAUACACAAUAGCCCAUAACGUCAAAG
rnacentral:lncRNA from 1 species